CUACGGACUUAAUUGGAUUGAGCCUUGGUAUGGGAAACUUACUAAGUGAGAACUUUCAAAUUCAGAGAAACCCUGGAAGUAAAAAAGGGCAAUCCUGAGCCAAAUCCUGUUUUCCGAAAACAAACAAAGUUUGCGAAAGCGAGAAUAAAAAAAAGGAUAGGUGCAGAGACUCAACGGAAGCUAUUCUAAAGUUUACAAAUAGAGUUGACUGCGUUGCGUUAGUAAAAAAAUCCUUUCCUAAAAAUUCCAGAAAGGAUAAACUUAUAUACAUACGUAUACGUACUGAAAGACUAUCUCAAAUGAUUAAUGAUGACCUAAAUCUGUAUUAUUUAUCAAAAAAAUCAAAGAUUUGUUGUGAAUCGAUUCCAAAUUGAAGAAGGAAUCAAAUGAUAAUUGAUCAAAUCAUUCACUCCAGUGUCAGAUAGAUCUUUUGAAAACCCGAUAGAAUAAAGAUAGAGUCCCAUUCUACAUGUCAAUAUUGA
rnacentral:ncRNA from 1 species